rnacentral:rRNA from 1 species
AACGCUAGCUACAGGCUUAACACAUGCAAGUCGAGGGGCAGCAUUUCAGUUUGCUUGCAAACUGGAGAUGGCGACCGGCGCACGGGUGAGUAACACGUAUCCAACCUGCCGAUAACUCGGGGAUAGCCUUUCGAAAGAAAGAUUAAUACCCGAUGGCAUAAUUAGACCGCAUGGUCUUAUUAUUAAAGAAUUUCGGUUAUCGAUGGGGAUGCGUUCCAUUAGGCAGUUGGUGAGGUAACGGCUCACCAAACCUUCGAUGGAUAGGGGUUCUGAGAGGAAGGUCCCCCACAUUGGAACUGAGACACGGUCCAAACUCCUACGGGAGGCAGCAGUGAGGAAUAUUGGUCAAUGGACGAGAGUCUGAACCAGCCAAGUAACGUGAAGGAUGACUGCCCUAUGGGUUGUAAACUUCUUUUAUAUGGGAAUAAAGUUUUCCACGUGUGGAAUUUUGUAUGUACCAUAUGAAUAAAGAUCGGCUAACUCCGUGCCAGCAGCCGCGGUAAUACGGAGGAUCCGAGCGUUAUCCGGAUUUAUUGGGUUUAAAGGGAGCGUAGGUGGACAGUUAAGUCAGUUGUGAAAGUUUGCGGCUCAACCGUAAAAUUGCAGUUGAUACUGGCUGUCUUGAGUACAGUAGAGGUGGGCGGAAUUCGUGGUGUAGCGGUGAAAUGCUUAGAUAUCACGAAGAACUCCGAUUGCGAAGGCAGCUCACUGGACUGCAACUGACACUGAUGCUCGAAAGUGUGGGUAUCAAACAGGAUUAGAUACCCUGGUAGUCCACACAGUAAACGAUGAAUACUCGCUGUUUGCGAUAUACAGUAAGCGGCCAAGCGAAAGCAUUAAGUAUUCCACCUGGGGAGUACGCCGGCAACGGUGAAACUCGAAGGAAUUGACGGGGGCCCGCACAAGCGGAGGAACAUGUGGUUUAAUUCGAUGAUACGCGAGGAACCUUACCCGGGCUUAAAUUGCAUUUGAAUAAUCUGGAAACAGGUUAGCCGCAAGGCAAAUGUGAAGGUGCUGCAUGGUUGUCGUCAGCUCGUGCCGUGAGGUGUCGGCUUAAGUGCCAUAACGAGCGCAACCCUUAUCUUUAGUUACUAACAGGUCAUGCUGAGGACUCUAGAGAGACUGCCGUCGUAAGAUGUGAGGAAGGUGGGGAUGACGUCAAAUCAGCACGGCCCUUACGUCCGGGGCUACACACGUGUUACAAUGGGGGGUACAGAAGGCAGCUACCUGGUGACAGGAUGCUGAUCCCAAAAGCCUCUCUCAGUUCGGAUCGAAGUCUGCAACCCGACUUCGUGAAGCUGGAUUCGCUAGUAAUCGCGCAUCAGCCAUGGCGCGGUGAAUACGUUCCCGGGCCUUGUACACACCGCCCGUCAAGCCAUGAAAGCCGGGGGUACCUGAAGUACGUAACCGCAAGGAGCGUCCUAGGGUAAAACUG